AUGGAUGGGCUCCGAGGGGCUUGCGGGAGGGGGGCGCCAGUGUUCGGGGCCGUUUUGGCGGCUAUGCAGGAUUGGCAGGAGCUGCGAUGCUCACACUUGCCUCGCCGACCGCCAUUUCACAUCCAGCAGAGGAGGCGGGGGCAGCCGCUGAGACGGUUUUUCACAAGGAAAUGACCUCAUUCUUGAUGGCUGCUGCUAACUUAUGGUGAGAUGCUGGGUCCCUGCCCAAUACCACAUGGACAUCCAAUCAAUUUACCCAGGGACAAGUCCACUCAAGAGCAUCAUUUAGAAGAGGGAAAAGGCACUGGGGUUAUUUGUUUUUGGAGUAUGUGCUUAAGGAAAUCUAGAGUAUUCCCACGAGCAUUCUGCUGAGAUGAACAAUCAGAUGACCUCGUGUGAGAUUUGGAGGAGAGAAGGAAAUGGAGAGCAUGCGUCUGCCGCUUCUGUGGUUUCUGUCGGCUUUCUCCAUAUUUACGUGCUUGUAACUCUGGCAUGACCUUUGCUCCAGUCUCUACCAGAGGGCGGUGCCUGGAUUGAAGUGGAAAAGCCCUGUUUUCCAGCCAUGACCCAGGGAGCAAGCACUGACUCCUCAGGGGAACAGGAGACCUGCCAACUAGGACCCUGGGAGCCCCCAUGCUGGCAGUGCCCUGGGUCAUCUCAGGCUCAUCAGCAAAUCCUGGGGGGAGAGCGGGGCUGGAGGGCGAAGAAGCCCAGGAGAGUUCCUGGCUCAGAACCCCUCUCUGAGGCUCCCAAUACAGAGCCCAGGCCCCACACCCAGGGCCUCUGAGUAUUUUUGUUUAUUGUAUGUAAAAUACUAGUGUAUUUUUGUUUAAGUCUCACAGGUAAACAGGUUCUCUCAUACUUUGCCAAGGGAAAUGUGAUCUGUGCAAUUUGGCAAUAACUAUCAGAAUUUUAAAAGCUUAUGCCCUUUGACCUAGUAAUUUCACUUCUAAGAAUUUCCCCUGCAGAGAUAUGUAUAUCUUGUAUGAAAUGAAGAGGCUACGAAGACAGGCAACGCCGCAGUGUUUAUAAUAGCGAAGACCAGACACAACCCACAUGUCUAAAGGUUCUGAUUUUUAAAACUGUAGUAUAUCUGUACAAUGAGCACUCCACAUCCUUUAAGAAUGAGGAAGGGCUGUGUGAACUGAAAUGGAACUAUCUCUAAGAUUUAUUAAGUUAAAAAAAUUCAAGAGUAGCACAGUGUGUAGGGUAUGCCAUCAUUUGUAUGAUAUAAGGUCGUAUAUCUGCCAUCUCAAAUGAGGAACAGUGGUUGCCUCUGGGAAGGGAAUUGGAUGGCUAGGAAUGGGGUAGGAAAGAGGUUUGCUUUUCAGAACAUUUUAUACUAUUUAAGUUUUGUAACAAGUGCAUCUAUUUUGACUUAAAAGAUAAAAAAUGAAAAGGAAAGGCUCCACUAGUGAUUCUGAUGCUCACAAAGAUUAAGAACCAAUGCGAAUGAGGAACUCAUGACACCGCCCAGGAGACAGUGAACAUAUCUCUUCAAAUAUCAAAAACCUUUCAGCAGAGGAGCCAUUCACCUUGAAGCUGAGGAGGCAUGGAAGCAGGCCACCUGUGUUCUGUACAGCAUCACCAGGCUGGAAAUCUGCCAUGGCUUUCCUUCACGCCAUCACAAGAGGAUACAGAUGAGGCUGCAGAGGCAUCUUGAUUUGAGAAAAGCAUUUGACUGGAUCUCAUUAAAUUUUAAUCAUUAACUGAAUUCAAAAUAAAUUGAAAACUGGUUGACAGAGCACCAACAAAGGGUGAUGAUAAAUGGUGAUGCAUCUAGAGGGGAGCUAUCUUCCAGGGGACAACUCUAAGGCAAGGACGGAUGGGAUUUAAUGAAGGUGUUAUGUCCCCAGAAGAAGACAAAUAGCACAGCAAGGAACAGAGGAAGGACAGGAGUGAGCAGCCUGAGUAAUUAAUAAACCAUAUUAACAGCUCCUCCAUAAUCAGGCCUUGGUGAUCACAACUGCUUGGAUUUUUUCUUAAGCUUUCUUUGAGUCAGGAAUAGGUUUGAAGCGUCCUAGAGACACACAGCAUGAAUAUUUCAGGUGGACAUUAAAAAGAAAUCUAUAAAUUUACAGCUGGGAGGAUCCUGAGAUCUACUUCGGAUCAGAAACUUUCAAUUACAAGAUUCCCAAGGCCUUACUUCAUUCCCCAGAGAGUAAUCUUUUUAAUAAAUGUCCAAAAGUCAUGGAUUUAAAAAAAAAUCUUUAAACUCAUUAAUGUCCUUUGUUUCCUGCCCAAAUGCAUGCAAACUUUCAUAACACUGGUUUGCUGAGUGGAAGGUUGGUUUUGAGUGAACUGUUUGGCUCAGAUUCAAACUCCAAUGAACAAAUACUUCCAAGUUUACUUGCUGAAUUUCCCAUACAGAGAAGUUCUUCCACUGGGCUUGCCAGAGGAUUUGAAACAGUGGUGAGCCCUGGAAGGAAGGGAAUAUUUACUGGCCCUUGGACAUAAACCCAGCACAGUAAGACUCACAUCAGGCUGAAGGCAGUGCAGUAUGAACCGACCUGAUUUGAGGAAGUUUGCUCUGGGACUCCUCUGAGCUACUAAAUGAGGAGGAGAAGGACUAAUGGGAACACACUGACUCCAUCACAUUAGAAGUUAUAAUAAACAUUUAGAGAACAACCUCAAACCAGCCCAUGUUUUUUUUUUUUUUCUGUCGUUGUCAUUGUUUUGGUUUUUGUUUUUUUGUUUCUUCAGAUAAGAUGGUUU
rnacentral:lncRNA from 10 species